UGAAGGCAAUGCACACAAAAUGAGGUUCAACAGUAUAUCGCAUAAAUCAUCUUGGAAGCUGAAAAAGUAACCAAAUUAUUACAAUGAAGGAUAAAAUCUGGAAAAAAAUGUACAUUUGUAGUGGCAAUUUCAAGCAAUGUUUUUAUCAAUCCAAUAGUGCUUUUUAAUGGCUCCAGAUUUGGUUUCAUUUGGCAAUCAAUACUUAUCGGAAUCUGGAUAAAACAACAUGGGCACCAUGGGAAAUAUGGAAUAAAGAAAGACAAUUGAAGUUUCCCAUUUGAAUUGAAUCAUUUUUUCUCAAGGAAAAAAAAGUGUUGACCUGGAUACCGAGAUGACCAACUUGGAUGUAGACGUAAAGGACGAGAUAUGCAAAGUGAAACUUUUGAGCAAAUAUUUAAAGAGGAUGUGGUUCGUGUGUUUGGGUCGGGUUCCUGUUUGAAGAACAGAAGAAGUACCUUCUUUUUUCAUCAUCGCCAUCAUGUUCAUCUUUUUAUUGUUGAUGGCACACGAGUUGACGAGAUGACUGUUGACUUUACUUCCUUUCCAUAUAAAUUGAAGAUGAAACGCAUGUCAUCUUAAUAGGCACUGGAAGAGGCGAGCCAAAGUAAAGAUCAAGACCAAACCCUCCAAACGCACUUAGGCUGAUG